GACGAACGCUGGCGGCGUGCCUAAUACAUGCAAGUAGAACGCAGUUGCGAACGGGUGAGUAACGCGUAGGUAACUGCCUCAUAGCGGGGGUUAACUAUUGGGAACGAUAGCUAAUACCGCAUACUGUGAGAUGGACCUGCGUUGUAUUAGGUAGUUGGUGGGGUAACGGCUCACCAAGGAGACGAUAAAUAGCGGACCUGAGAGGGUGGUCGGCCCAACUGGGAACUGGAAACGGCCCAGACUCCUUCGGGAGGCAGCAGGAGGGAAUCUUCGGCAAUGGACGGAAGUCUGACCGAGCAACGGCGCGUGAGGUAAGAAAGGUUUCGGAUCGUAAAGCUCUGUUGUUAGAGAAGCGGUACCUAACCAGAAAGGGACGGCUAACUACGUGCCAGUAGCCGCGGUAAUUC
rnacentral:rRNA from 1 species